UACAUCAGUUCUUCAACCGCGUACAAGCGGGC
rnacentral:sRNA from 1 species